GUCAGGACGGCCGAGUGGUCUAAGGCGCCAGACUCAAGUUCUGGUCUCCAGGUGGAGGUGUGGGUUCGAGUCCCACUUCUGACA